rnacentral:lncRNA from 1 species
UCAUUUCCCUCCCAAGUUCGAUCUUACUCGAAUUAUUUUCGACCUUCUGACUCCGAGUUCAUGCGUAUCCCCAUUCCAUUUCUUCAGUAUCAAGAAAUGUCUAUAUCGCCAUAUAAUUCUUCCUGUAUUUAAUCGAUCUUGGUAUUUUCUAUUUUUUUUUCCUUUCCAAGAAUCCGUCCGUCAUCCAACCAUCGAUUAUUCUUGUAAUGUUGCACUAUCACCUCCAUUCCUAUUUUCAACUCCGGUAAAUCCCUCUUAUUAUUAUCAUAACGGAUUUUUUCCUUCUCCCUUUGCUCCUCCAUUCUCCUCAAACAGUAUUUUUGUUCUUUUUCGGAUCUUGGACCAUAGCUCUUCCAAUGAAUAGAUUCUUCAUACAUUUCACCAAACUCUCAGCAUGUCCAUUAUUUUGCGGAAAAUGGGGUGAAGAAGGCCCCCAUGUUACUCCCCACAUCUUCAAGAAUGUCUGAAAUUCCCUUAUACUAAGCUGAGGGCCUUGAUCUGUUCUUAUUUUAACUGGAAUCCCGGUUGCAGAAAAUAUUUUUCUUAAUGUCACUAUUACUUCUCCCGAAGACUGAACUCUUUUGAAUUCAUCUACAUAUGGAUAUCCUGAAAGACCAUCUCCAUAUACCAAGUAAUGGUUUCCUCCAUACUCAAACAAAUCUGCAGACGUGCUCUCAAAUGCCUCAUUGAUAUCGGGUCCCUCAUCAUCGUUUCUUCUCGUAAACUAGGUAAUCUUUUUAUACAUUUUCUACAUAUUUUAAUCAUUUCUUCAAUAUCUGAGUUCCCUCCAAGCCAAUAAAUCGUCUGCCUAGCUCUUCUUUUCGUCUUCUCGAUACAUUGAUGUGAACUGUGCAAUCCCUGAAAAACUUGAAAUUGCCUCUAUUUUGGAAUUACCAGCAUAUUACCAUAUAAAACAAUACCAUUUUCAGUGCUCAAAUCAUUUAAUAUCUUGGAAAAUGGUUUUACUGAAUCGUUUAUACAAUUGUCUUCAACUGCAUUGACUAAAUCUUUAUACAUAUGAUCUUUUAUUGCUUAUUUUCUAAUAUCUUCUAUUAAUGGAUCAACGAAUCUUUCUUCAUCUUCUAAAUGAGUAGCUCUAAUAAUAUCAACUCUAAUCACUUGUCCUCUGUGAUAUUCAACAUCUCUAUCCUACUCUUCAUCUUCAUCGGGAUGAGACACCAGUGAUCUCGAUAAUGCAUCGGGUACUUCAUGAUAUUUCCCCUUGAUCCAUUCUGUUUCAAAUUGAUACAUUGAUAUUUUCAAUUUAAAUCUAAUUAGUCUAGCAUUAUCUAGCUUAUCUAUGGUGCAAUUAUUAAGAAUAGGAACAAGUGGAUUAUGAUCUGUAAGUACACUAAAUGUAAGUAAGCCUGCUAGAUAUACGUGACAUUUCUUUAUAACCCCCACUACACCCAAACAUCCCAAUUUUAUCACGGAGUAUCUUGUUUCAGCACUUGAUAAAAAUUGGGAGCCACAUUGAAUUAAUUUCCAUUCUUCUUUGUGCUUCUGACAUAACAUUUAUCCCAAUCCAUUUAUUCUCGAUGCAUGAGUUUCAAGUUUUGUUUCUAAUCUUGGAUCGAAUGGUGCUAAUGUUCGUGGUGAAGUUAGAACUUCUUUAGUUUCCUUCAUUGAUAAAGAAUGAUUUUUGGUCCACACAUACUCUACUUUUGACGACAAAAGCUCUCUCAGCGGGCCUACAACUUCACUAAUUCUCGAUGAUGGCUCUGCAAAAUCUUUAAUAGCAUUCAAUUUACUUGUAUCCGCUUCAAUACUCUUCUUGGAUAAAAUAUAACCACAAUAUUUUAAUUUACCCCAAGGAGUCAUAAAACACGUCAUUUCUCUUGAUUUUUCUUUCAGUUCUAUCUGCCAAUAUCCCUGUUUUGCAUCCAAUGCUGUAAAAAAUUCAAUGUUUGUUGGAAUACUUGAUAUUAUGUCCAAGGUGUUCUCAUGGGAUGGAUUGGCCUCUUUACUACAUCAUUCAAUUUUUUAAGAUUCAUACAUAUUCUCACUUUUCCCUAGGUUUGGGUAGAACUACUAAUGGAUGGCAACAAACUACUGCUUUAUCACUGACUUUACUUAUUAUUUUCAUUCUUUCCAUUUUGUUAAUUUCUUUUUCCACUUCUUCUCAAUAGGUAAAUGGUAUGUUUCUUGCAGUAUGAAUUGUGCAUGGUUGAUAAUCUUCUUUAAUACUUAUCUUCAUUGGUUGCCCCUCCAUAAUUUUCAUUCUUCCUCAUCACAAAAUACAUCUCUAAAUUCUUCCAUCAUUUCUUCUUUUUUUUUUUUAAAUCUCUAUCUCUUCUUUCUUCACAGA